GACGAACGCUGGCGGCGUGCUUAACACAUGCAAGUCGAACGGUGAACCUCUUCGGAGGGGAUCAGUGGCGAACGGGUGAGUAACACGUGGGCAACCUGCCCCCGGCUCUGGGAUAACUCCAAGAAAUUGGGGCUAAUACCGGAUGUUCACCGCUUCCCGCAUGGGUGGUGGUGGAAAGGGUUUCCGGCUGGGGGUGGGCCCGCGGCCUAUCAGCUUGUUGGUGGGGUAGUGGCCUACCAAGGCGACGACGGGUAGCCGGCCUGAGAGGGUGACCGGCCACACUGGGACUGAGAAACGGCCCAGACUCCUACGGGAGGCAGCAGUGGGGAAUAUUGCGCAAUGGGCGGAAGCCUGACGCAGCGACGCCGCGUGGGGGAUGACGGCCUUCGGGUUGUAAACCUCUUUCAGCAGGGACGAAGCGCAAGUGACGGUACCUGCAGAAGAAGCACCGGCCAACUACGUG
rnacentral:rRNA from 1 species